GACGAACCGUGCGAACGUUGUUCGGAUUCACUGGGCUUAAAGGGCGCGUAGGCGGGCGACCAAGUCAGGGGUGAAAUCUUUCGGCUCAACCGGAAAACUGCCCCUGAUACUGGCCGUCUUGAGGGAGGUAGGGGUCUGUGGAACUUCUGGUGGAGCGGUGAAAUGCGUAGAUAUCAGAAGGAACGCCGGUGGCGAAAGCGACGGACUGGACCUUCUCUGACGCUGAGGCGCGAAAGCUAGGGUAGCGAACGGG
rnacentral:rRNA from 1 species